rnacentral:rRNA from 1 species
UCUUGGAUAUAAAUUUAAUUAAAUUUACCAGAGCACUAUGAACCAAUCACUAAAGUUUAAAACUCAAAGAGCUUGGCGGUGUUUUAUACCUUUCAGGGGAACCUGUCUCAUAAUCGACAAUCCACGCUAAACCUAACCUCCAUUUUGUACUUCAGUCUGUAUACCGUCGUCGUCAGGUAACUUUUAAAAACUUAGAAGUUAGCAACUAAAUAACUUAAAUUAAUACGUCAGAUCAAGGUGCAGCUUAUAAGGGGGCGAGGAUGGGUUACAAUUAUCUAUUUAUAAUAACAAGCAUAUUAAUUGAAAACAAUCUUAUAUAGGAGGACUUGAAAGUAAAAUAAAUUAUAAAAACAAUUUGAAUUAGGCUCUGAAACGUGC